UACGUAGGGGGCGAGCGUUGUCCGAAUUUACUGGGCGUAAAGCGCGUGUAGGCGGUUCUUUAAGUCAGAUGUGAAAUCCUGUGGCUCAACCACAGAACUGCAUUUGAAACUGAAGGGCUUGAGUGUGGGAGAGGAAAGUGGAAUUCCUGGUGUAGCGGUGAAAUGCGUAGAUAUCAGGAGGAACACCCGUGGCGAAGGCGGCUUUCUGGCCCACCACUGACGCUGAGACGCGAAAGCUAGGGGAGCGAACGGGAUUAGAAACCCUAGUAGUCC
rnacentral:rRNA from 1 species